GAUGAACGCUGGCGGCGUGCCUAAUACAUGCAAGUCGAGCGAACGGACGAGAAGCUUGCUUCUCUUAUGUUAGCGGCGGACGGGUGAGUAACACGUGGAUAACCUACCUAUAAGACUGGGAUAACUUCGUGAAACCGGAGCUAAUACCGGAUGAUAUUUUGAACCGCAUGGUUCAAAAGUGAAAGACGGUCUUGCUGUCACUUAUAGAUGGAUCCGCGCUGCAUUAGCUAGUUGGUAAGGUAACGGCUUACCAAGGAAACGAUGCAUAGCCGACCUGAUAGGGUGAUCAGCCACCCUGGACCCGAGACACGGUCCCGACUCCUACGGGAGGCAGCAGUAGGGAAUCUUCCGACAUGGGCGAAAGCCUGACGGAGCCACACAGCGUGAGUGAUGACGGUCUUCGGAUCGUAAACCUCUGUUAUUAGGGAAGAACAUAUGUGUAAGUAACUGUGCACAUCUUGACGGUACCUAAUCAGAAAGCCACGGCUAACUACGUG
rnacentral:rRNA from 1 species